GACGAACGCUGGCGGCGUGCUUAACACAUGCAAGUCGAACGGAACUGCCCUGCUUUUGUGGGGUGCUCGAGUGGCUAACGGGUGAGUAACACGUACGUGACCUGCCCUUGACUUUGGUAUAACUUCCGGAAACUGGGGCUAAUUCCUGAUAGGAGCUCCUUCUUCAUGGUGUGGGUUGGGGAGUUUCGGCGGUUGGGGAUUGACUCGCGGCUUCUCAGCUUGUUGGUGGGUUAGUGGAUUACCAAGGCUUUGACGGGUAGCCGGCCUGAGAGGGUGACCGGCCACAUAGGGACUGAGAUACGGCCCAGACUCGUACGGGAGGCAGCAGUGGGGAAGAUGGAACAAUGGGCGGAAGACUGAUGCAGCAACGCGGCGUGCGGGAUGAUGGCAUUCGGGUUGUAAACCGCUUACGCCUGUGACGAAGCGUGAGUGACGGUAAUGGGUAAAGAAGCACCGGCUAACUACGUG
rnacentral:rRNA from 1 species